rnacentral:rRNA from 1 species
CGUGCCCGCUGGCGGUAGGCCUAACACAUGCAAGUCGAACGGAAGGACAGUAAGAGCUUGCUCCUACGGGUGGCGAGUGGCGGACGGGUGAGAAAUAGAUCGGAAUCUAAUUUUUCGUGGGGGAUAACGUAGGGAAACUGACGCUAAUAGCGCAUACGACCAACGGGUGAAAGCAGAAGAUCUUCGGAGCUUGCGUGACUGAAUGAGACGAAGUCGGAUUAGCUAGUUGGCGGGGUAAAGGACCACCAAGGCGACGAUCCGUAGCUGGUCUGAGAGGAUGAUCAGCCACACUGGAACUGAGACACGGUCCAGACUCCUACGGGAGGCAGCAGUGGGGAAUCUUGCACAAUGGGCGCAAGCCUGAUCCAGCCAUACCGCGUGGGUGAAGAAGGUCUUCGGAUUGUAAAACUCUUUUGUUGGGAAAGAAAAUCUGUAUGUGAAUACCUCGCUGUUCUGACGGUACCCAAUCAGUAAGCACCGGCUAACUUCGUG